GUAAGCGCUAUUGCGUAUUUAUAAUUGAACGAAACGUUCAUCCACGCGUUGGGAAUGAUAUUUCUAUAAUCAAAUUCAAUUCUCGUCUUUCCAAGUGCUAUAUUCGUUUCGAUCAAGUACCAUUGACGCUAACCGUUUGGACACAAAGAGGGCAAUAACAAGGCCUAAUUUCGCGAAGCAGGAAAACGUUGAAGCCGAGGACUUUCAGGCCUCCCACGUAACGAGAUAAAUUGCCCUUGGACCCGUAGCGAACAUAGACGAUAACGCCUUAAAAAGGAACUGCUUCUCAGCCUCACAAGUUCGCUUGAGGAGCCAAUCAACUACGACCUUCCAAAGCAAAUACAUAGUCUGCCGCGAUAGUUCAAUGGAGUCACACGAAUUAGAGAAAUGAAAAGAGAUUCGAUAAAAUUUCUCUAUGUAAGUUGUCCUUAUUACCUACGACAUAAAGAACGUACAUCGUUGAUGAUCAAGCUGAAGCGUAUGAUACGUUGAAUUCGAAAUUUCAGUGUGUCGAGCGACAUGCAACGUGUAUCGCGUAUGUAUACGAGGUUUGCGCGAAUUCCUCUAAUGUUUCGUACACGCGAGCUGUUAGUUUCGCUUAAUCGCGACCAUGAGAUACAGGAACAAGGAAUAUCUCGAGAUAAUCAAGACUUUGAAUGCCUAUAGCGGUAAUUUAUGCUGCUGUUCGCUAUUACGGAGAACGCUAUGCCAACCAACGUUCAGUGUUCUUGAUGUCAGAAACGCUCUCUUUUAGAAAAUGCAUCCUUUGAAUCUCGGUAUCGGCAUUGUAGUCGUACGCGCGGGCGUGCCAUCGAAGAUGAUGCUCUAGAUUCUAGAAGAUUCAUAAUCAUAACAAUCCUUGACUAACACCAUCGAUUUUGAGACUCUGCACGAGUGUUCGUUAGACCCAGAUAAGGAAUUUAGCCGUAAUUCGUUCGUGCUUUAAGGGAGAAAUUUUUGCUUUAAGGGAGAAAACAACCCUCUCGUCCGAGUCGGCUUUCUAUGUAAAUGUUUAUAGAUCGUAAACGACAAGAGAUAUGAAAAAGUGAUUCAAAUUAAAGUUAUAUCGUGUCUUGACACCUAUAAAUUUGUGCGAAAAAUUUAUUUAAAAAAUCAUUUCUUUGCAAAAAUUAAAUUGCUUGUCCGCUUUUCUUACAGAAAUUUUAAUCUUCUUCGAAUCCAACGGUGUACCACAGUACAUAAUUAUUGUAAUUAUUCCAUGCAGAAUCGUCACUUUAAGUUUCGUGUAUUACCUGUGCUGGCUGUUAAUUCAAUGUGUAGUUGCGACGUUAACUUUUGCGAUAACGAUCGUUUCUCCAUACGUUUUACAUGAGAUAACCAUAACAUUAAUUUCAUCGUAACGCAUCGGGAUAGUAAUCGAUGGAUGAUAACAUAUUGUUCACACAAAUCUUUUAACGGGGUUUAUCAUGCUGAAACAAUAAAAAUGCAAAUCUAUUUGGGACCUAUAGAUAUACAGGACCAGAAGGAAUAAUUUAUUUUCAUUUAAUAAUUGACAAAAGAUAAGUAAAAUCAAACUGCGGAUAGUACAAUGUUACAAAAUGCAAUGCUUCAGCAUUUACCAAGUUAUAUUUUCUGAUGUUCAAGAACGUUUCACAUUUAUACCUACUAAAUAGCAGUAAUUCUGCGUUCGAACAUAUUUUGGGUUGGUUAGUACUGCUCUGCGUUUUAAGGUUCAUUCAUCCAAGACGGUUCAUUGUUCAGGAUUGUCUAUUCUCUGUUCGCUUUUCAUCGCAUACAAGUUGUUGAAGACUAACUCGUCGGAUAGUCGGUCGUGCGAAGAUCAGUUGGCAGUGUGACUAACUAUGGAUCCCGAAGAGGAACAAAUCCACGUGAGUCAACCGCGACACAACAUUUAUCGUAUUUGAAACGAACGUCUCCUAUAAUUAAACUGCCAUGUUUACUGGUAGAAUUUCUUUAAAAAUAGUUCAAUAAUCAUUUUAAUACACGCAUAGUCGAGCUUAUUUUGAAAUUACUCACAAAUUUCGUCACGAAAGGAAGAUUGGUUUCCAUUUAAGAAAUCGAGGACAAUGUAGAAAUGUCAAAAAGUGUGAGUGAUGGAAAAAAGUGUAAUGUGAAGCAGUGAAUAAGAAUAAAAAAUGGAAUUAUUGAAGUGGUUGUAGCUGCUACUUGUCAUAGCUUGUAUGUGUACAAGUACAUUUCUGUAUAUAUAUAGAUCAAGAAAAGGAAAAUGUCCAAUAAAAAGUUAAAAAUUGCUCUUACAAAGUAUUAGAUAGUGUUGUGGGAACAAUAGAAUUUCAAAAGUAUUUAAGAACGAUAUUUACAAAUCGCUUAUCUGUUCCUAUACUGUAUCGAACGAAAAUUACUCUAUUAUUAUUUCGUAUUGUUGUUAUAAUUUUUCAAUUGAAGAAUUUUUUAGCAUGUUUGUAUGACAUGUUUCUCUUAUUCUUGCUCAAAGAAAUAUGCAUCUAGUAUCAUUUAGUGGGAAAAUGUACGGACAUGCCACAUGUAUCUCGUGGAAUGAAGCAUUGCGAUUGAAGUUGAGAUUUUUCAUGCACCAAAGACGUUAAUGCGCCUAUGCACCUUUUAAGUGACAAAUAAGUCAUUCUUACAUAAUCUUUGGAGAAAAAGCAAAGAGAUACAGAAGGAAAGCCUCUUUUAUAUUUUCUAAGCAGUGGAGCAUACUAAGUGAUUGAGUAUUCUUUUAAAAGCAGUUCUUCUUAAGUUUUUAUUAACUUUAUAGAGAAGGGAUUUUAACCAAAGUUUGCACGCACUAUGUUUCACUUAGAAAAAAUUCACAAUAGCUUUAUUGUUGUUGGUAGCCUGUGGAUAUUUAUGUUACUGAAAUGUGUAAAAAAAAUAUGUUAAUAUAAUACGUAAGAUAUAUUGGAAAUCAUAUUAUUUGAACAUGAUAAUAAAAUAUACCAAUUUAAAUUA